GAGGGUAUAGCCCAAGAGACAGAGCACAUGCUUAGCACGAAUGAGGCCCUGGGUUCAAUCCCCAGUACCUCCA
rnacentral:tRNA from 1 species